AGAGUUUGAUCCUGGCUCAGAAUGAACGUUGGCGGUGUGGAUUAGGCAUGCAAGUCGUGCGCGAAACGUAGCAAUACGUGGAGAGCGGCGAAAGGGAGAGUAAUACAUGGUUAGCUGCCCUCGGGACUGGAAUAGCGGCGGGAAACUGCCGGUAAUGCCAGAUAACGUCUUCGGACCAAACGUGUAAACCGGCCCGAGGAGGUGACCAUGUCCUAUCAGCUUGUUGGCGGGGUAACGGCCCACCAAGGCUAAGACGGGUAUGGGGCGUGAGAGCGUGCCCCCACUCACUGGGACUGAGAACUGCCCAGACACCUACGGGUGGCUGCAGUCGAGAAUCUUCGGCAAUGGGCGCAAGCCUGACCGAGCGACACCGCGUGCGGGAUGAAGGCCUUCGGGUUGUAAACCGCUGUCGUAGGGGAGGAAGGUCUGGUGUAUAGCCAGGCUUGACCGAUCCUAGGAGGAAGGGCCGGCUAAUCUCGUGCCAGCAGCCGCGGUAAUACGAGAGGCCCAAACGUUAUUCGGAUUUACUGGGCUUAAAGAGUUCGUAGGCGGCGCGGAAAGUAGGGUGUGAAAGCCCUCGGCUUAACCGAGGAAUUGCGCCCUAAACUGUCGCGCUCGAGGAACCUAGAGGUGAGCAGAACUGAUGGUGGAGCGGUGAAAUGCGUUGAUAUCAUCAGGAAUACCGGAGGCGAAGGCGGCUCACUGGGGGUUAUCUGACGCUGA
rnacentral:rRNA from 1 species